UCAUGAUUUUGCAUAAAGUUUUGAUCUUUUGAUGAUUUUAACAAAAACCCAUGUGUUUUUUAUAAAAAAAAGAUUAUGUGGGUAGUGAUUAUAUGUUUUUUUGUAUAAAGUUUUGAUCUUGUGAUGUGCAGAAGCCCAAGAUGGAGGGACUUGGAGGCAUUGGUGUAAUAGGUGAAAACUUUGAGGGUAGUAUUGGAAGAGUUGCUGGUCAGGUGGAAGUGAUAAUAUUGAAGGUGCAUCUGGUGAUGAACAAGACAUACCUGCUGGACCGUCUUCCAGUUCUCGCAGCAGACACAAGAAAUAUCAUCGGCAUACUCCUUACCAAGUUCAAGAACUUGAAGCUUCCUUUAAAGAUAAUCCUCACCCUGAUGAGAAAGAAAGAUUGGCACUGCGUAAGAAACAGAAUUUGGAAAAUAAGCAAGUCAAGUUUUGGUUUCAGAACAGAAGAACACAAAGGUGAUUAAUUUCAGUUUUUGUUUGUUCUUCUCUAAUAAUUAUAUUCGUUUUUGAUGUGUAAUUUAGUUUUUUUUUUUUUGUCUAUGGCAAGUCAAACUAAAAAAAAACAUUCUCUUUUAAUUUGUCGACAAAACCAACAUUACCUGCCCUUGAGUGUCUUGUUCAUUCAAAUGAUGAAGAGGUGUAUUUUGGCUAUGCGCAAUCGAUCGUCACGAUCGAUAUUCCAACCGCAAUGUUGUGUUUUUUUAGAUCAACAUGAAAGUCCAAGGACCUGUUUGUGUGGGAACAUGGUGUGUCUUCAGGAGACAAGCGUUGUAUAGAUAUGAUGCACCUAAACCUCCUGGCAAAACCUGCAACAGCUUGCCAAAGUCGUGUUGCUGUUAUUUUGGAUAGAAGAGCAAAGGAAAAACAGAGGAGAACCAAAAAAAGUAAGAAGAUGAAGGAAGCUUCAACCCAAAUACAUGCACUCGAGAAUAUUGAAGAAGGAAUUGAAGAUAAAAGUUUGAGAGGAAAUUCGAACUUUGACAUCAAAGGGAGGGGAUGAUGGUGAAUUUGCGGAGUUGUGCCUGUUCAAAUGGACACUAACCCUGCUUGUCUUCAACAUAAUCGAGGUGGUGGUAUGCAUCUCGAUGCAAUCCACAAUGAGUACGAGUCAUUGGGCCGAGUGUUUGGCCAUAUGGGUGAAUAGGUGAUCCAUCAUUUGUAUCAUUUCCUAAAUGCUAGGAUGGGAAAGCAGAGCAAUGAGUCUACCAUCCUUAUUGUAUGCUUAAUCCUUCUAGCCGGUGUGCGUUAAUCCGUUUCUGGACCGAGGUGGGAUCUUGUUGGAGGUAUGUGGGUUAGACUGUGACUGAUCAUAAUCAUACAUAUAGAUGUAGUAACAUAUAUAGCAAGGAGAUGUAUUAAAAAUAUGAAUGUAUAGAUAAAGAAGGGCCUGCUAUAUUUCUUUUUGAUAAAA